UGAAUUCCAGAGCACCAAAACGGUAGCAGUGGUGCCACAAAACUGGUACAGCGAUGGUGUUUCCUAUUGGCCGAACUACAAAAGUGAUGAAAGAGUGGACAGGGCAGUGAAACAUUCAGAGGAGCCUGGACCUGACUGGAAGACAUACGAUGUCAGAAUUGUCAAAUCAUGUGUACUUCGAGGCAAGAAAACUGAUGAAAAAGUCUCUGACGUGCAACACAUCAGAUUUGCAGUCUGAAGAGGAAGAGGAGGAAUUUCGUUUGAGGAGAAAGCCAAAGCCAAUUCAUUUCUUUGGUGACUCUGAUGAGGAUGAUAGUGGGGAGGAAAAUCAGUUGAACAAGAGAGCCUGACGUCAAGCCAAACAGCCAGCUCCACAACCAUCACCUCCUAUGCCACCACCACCUUGCUGUGUGCCAG